UGAGGAAUAUUGGUCAAUGGACGCAAGUCUGAACCAGCCAAGUAGCGUGCAGGAUGACGGCCCUAUGGGUUGUAAACUGCUUUUAUAUGGGGAUAAAGUGGGGAACGUGUUCCCUUUUGCAGGUACCAUAUGAAUAAGGACCGGCUAAUUCCGUGCCAGCAGCCGCGGUAAUACGGAAGGUUCGGGCGUUAUCCGGAUUUAUUGGGUUUAAAGGGAGCGUAGGCUGUUUGUUAAGCGUGUUGUGAAAUGUAGGAGCUCAACUUUUAGAUUGCAGCGCGAACUGGCAGACUUGAGUGCGCACAACGUAGGCGGAAUUCAUGGUGUAGCGGUGAAAUGCUUAGAUAUCAUGACGAACUCCGAUUGCGAAGGCAGCUGACGGGAGCGCAACUGACGCUAAAGCUCGAAGGUGCGGGUAUCGAACAGGA
rnacentral:rRNA from 1 species